rnacentral:misc_RNA from 1 species
CCGAAGUCUUACCCAAUCAGUAAUUCACUCCCCAUGGCUUACUCACUCUUCACAUCUUUCUGAACAAAAACGUCUCCCUCUCUCGCCCAUGGCCGUUUCUUUCUUCUCCCCAAUACCUCCUAAGCCUCCAUUCUCUCUUUAAAUCUCUCAUUCUCUCGCUCGUAUGUCUCUGAUUUCCACUUCAGUGAUCGUUCUUCUUCAUUCUCAUGGCGAUUGUUACUGGAGAUCGAUACCUUGAGAACCUUGUUAAUUUCGUCCAACACCAAGCUGGCCCUUUGCUUGAUGGCUCUUUAGUUCUUAAGCUUAAUCCUGUUGGUCUUCACUACGUACAAUCUAGACUUGAGGCUCUUCGUGAGGUUGAGAAUCUUCUUUCUGGUGCCCCUGUUGAUUAUCUUCGUGCUUACAUUUCUGACCUUGGGGACCAUCGAGCACUUGAACAGCUCCGUCGUAUUCUUAGGUUGCUUACGUCUCUUAAGGUUGUUUCUGUUUUGCCUCCCCCUGUUCGUGACCCUACUCCGAUUUCUUUACUGUCGUUUGGGAGAUUGAAGAUUUUGGAACUUAGAGGGUGUGAUUUGUCUACCUCAGCGGCUAGAGGUUUGCUUGAGUUGAGACAUACUUUGGAGAAGAUCAUUUGUCAUAAUUCGACUGAUGCUUUACGACAUGUUUUUGCGAGUAGGAUUGCUGAGAUAAAGGGCUCUCCACAAUGGAACCGGUUGUCAUUCGUAUCAUGCGCAUGUAAUCGCUUGGUUCUGAUGGAUGAGUCUUUACAACUUCUUCCUGCUGUUGAAACUCUUGAUUUGAGUAGAAAUAAGUUUGCAAAGGUAGAUAAUCUACGGAAGUGCACCAAAUUGAAGCACCUGGACCUUGGGUUCAAUCAUUUGAGAACAACUGCACCCUUUAGGGAGGAGUUAGGGUUGGACACUUGGACCCAUACGCCAGUGUUGUUGGACUAUGCAGGUCUCCUGUCAUAUUGGAAAACUUGUUUUGAGGAACAAUGCUCUAACCACAUUACGUGGGCUUGAAAAUUUGAAGUCACUUGAAGGGCUUGAUAUCUCCUACAAUAUUAUUUCCAAUUUUUCAGAGCUGGAGUUCCUUGCAAGACUCACAUCUCUACAGAAUUUGUGGUUGGAAGGAAAUCCAUUGUGUUGUGCAAGAUGGUAUCGAGCACAAGUAUUCAGCUAUUUUGCUCAUUCAGAUACAUUGAAGUUGGAUGACAAAGAAAUCAGCACAAGAGAGUUUUGGAAGAGGCAAAUUAUAAUUGCCAGCAGGCAGAAGCGACCUUCCAGCUAUGGAUUUUAUUCUCCUGCAAAAUAUAAUGUUGAAGGACAGGCUAGUAUCAUCAGAAAAAGGAAAAAAGUGCCUCGACUUGCUGCAAUUGAAAGUGAAGAAGAGAGCGCAUACUUUUCUUCUGACCAGGAGUCACCAUCAUGUGAUAAUGAUAUUCAAAGCAAAGAGGAGAAUAUCAUAUCUGAUAAUGAAGCUGAAAUGGUUGAUUUGAUUAACAGAGUUGAACUCAUGAAGAGAGAGGAUUCUAUUCUUUGGUUGCGGGAAUUUCAAGAAUGGAUGGAUCAUGAAUCUGAGAAUUCUGUGGAUGGAGGUACACAUAGCAGAGCCACAUUGCAUCAUGUGAAGGAAAAUCAUCAGAAAAACAAGACAAAUGAGAAGCAUCAUGGUGAAAGUUCAAGAAAUGUCUGGAAUUCUCUUAAUGCCUCAGGGGAUGAAGCUAGUACAGAUGGCUUGGAAUCUGAUGCUUCCUUUGUGGGCAUGUCUUUACCUGGCAUGGUGGGACCAAGACAGAAGUAUAAAAUAUCUCAUUCACAUGAAGGGUUAACCAUACAAGGAGACCAUUGUGUUGUUGAAAAUGGCAGCUUAUCAACAUUGACUGCCGUAGAUGAUACGUCGCAGUCUCAUUCCUUCUCUGCUUACUCUGUGUCCCCUCCCCAUUAUCAGGUGGACAUUUUGCAUCGUCGCCACAAUUUGCUGGAAGAAAUUUUGCAGCAAUCUGCAGAGUCCUGUUCAGUGGUUUCUUCUGAUAGUGAUACCAGCUCUAGUGAAGAUGAUAUAUAUGAAUAUGGGCAUUCAGUGCAUGAAGAUCAGUUACAGAAUGAAGAAUACUUGAAUUUGAGUAUUGGAGUGUGCUCGUCUUCAAAUCUUUUUAAUAAAAGUAAUUAUGUUAAGAAAUAUGGAAUUCAUCAUUUAAGGGAUAAUGAAAGGCGUUUGUUUGAUUCUCAUGAUUUACAAGCAUCUAUUAAAACAAAAACCUUAAAUUCAAGCAGAAUUGAUUUUCCUGCUGCUUCUACUGUUGGUGAAAUUGCUCAAUUUGCUGAUGAAGAGGCAGAUUGGCUGGACAAGACAAAAAGUAAAAGGCAACCAAGAAGAACACUUAUUUUACUUUCACUAGCAGAGAAUGUGGUUGACAAGACAGGGACAUCAGAAACACCAAGGGUUGAGAUGGAUACUAGUGUACAUGAUGAAGAAGAUGAGCAAGGGAAACAAAUUGUUGAUGCUGGCAAUUCUCAAGAUAUUGUUGAUAAGAAAAAGUUGCAGAAAAAUGCGAUUAAAACUCCAGCAGUUGCAAAUAUUGGUAGAUUUUCCAAUGAUUUUAUUGAGAAGUAUUUUAAUGCAAAUGUUGCAGAUUCCACAAUUAAUGAGACCUGUAGGCAUUAUCUACAUUGCGAUUGUGUAAUUGAGCCGGAAUCCUUGUACAGAGAAAGAGAAGUAGCUUUAUUGCUGAGCAGCGUAAACAAGUUGUAUGUAUUAAUCAUUGGUGUAGCAUUUGAUGGGUCAGGAAAUAUUUUGAGUUUACUGGGUUGGCACAGGGUUGAAGAUGUUAAAGAAGUUUUGGUUGGUGUAGGACUUCAGGUCAUGAGGUUAGUGAUUUCUGGUAUUGUCUGCAAUUAUUUUACUGGACAUUUUUGUAAAACUGUUUGGCAAUCUUUUGUUGGAUAGGGUGUACAUUGAGACGGGAGCAACCUACCUGUUUCUAACAAGGAGCAUUGAGAAAUCAAAGCAAUUACUUUGCACGUUACAAAUUUUUGGUCCAUUUGCAAUGAAUGAUAAAUGCAUAUUAAGAAGGUAAUCUAUCUUAUGCUCUUUAAAUAUAAACUUUAAUUAUAAUGUGGUUGAUUUUUCUUUGAAUUAAAUCCAUUUUUUAUAUUUAAAAGCAUCUGUAUAUAAUAGACUGGGGUUUUGGGAAUUUAUAUGGCAGUUUGGAGCAGGUUCAGGUUGAGUUGUUUGAGAAACAAAUAUGCGGAGGUUCAAAAAUAAGCAUAUUCCAAUAUGCUAUGGUGCUUUUUAGGCACAAAGAUGAAGAGGAAUCAUGGCUUUCAAGAUCACUGUUUGUAAGUGGAGCACAUGUUUUUGUGUGUGUUGAAGAACUUAAGCAGUUCACCUUUCCUUCAGUAGAUGCAUCUUCCUCCCCAUAUUUCUCCCUAGAUUGGUGUUGCUGCAUCAGUGAUGUAUCUGAGCUGGUCAUUGAGAACAAGGAGAGUCCAUGUGUAACCUUAAUUCUUGAGCAUGCUACAACAAAAUUCUGUUUCUCAUCAAAGGCUGACGAGUAUGCAACCAUUGAUAAGGAAAAUACAGCCAGCUCUUUGAUAGGGAAGCUCAAAUGGUUCUCUGAAGAGAGUCUAUUCAAUUUUGUGGCAUUGUUGAAGGCAAUUCAUUCAGGGAUAAAGACGUCUCCUCUGCUGAUAACACGCUUGUCGUGAGAAUCAUCGUAUGUAUAUUAUUAGUAGUUUCAUAUUCAUUUCAUUCUUUUGGUGUCGGCUUUCAUACCCCCUUACCUUUCUCGAUUUAAUUGAUUUAGUUUCAUUUAUCUUUAGUGUGGCAAUUCAAUAGCUUUCUUUGCUUGUGAUUUUUUUUUCUCUAUUCUUUCAGUAAUCAAGUUUCUAUUGUGUACAAAUUGUACAGUUCAGAACAUGAAAGAAAAUUAAGAUUGGUUGGUGUUAUUUUGUUUCUGUUCAUCUUGCGUCGCUA